AUGUCUAAGUAUAAAUGAAUACACAGUAAAACUGCGAACGGCUCAUUCAAACAGUUAUAGGUUAUUUGAUAUUUCGGAUACUUCCAAUAUGGAUACCCGUAGUAAUUCUAGAGCUAAUACAUGCGUUACGGGGGACUUCACGGAACCCCAGUAUUAUUAGAUAUUCUUAAACCAUCAUUCCGCAAGGUCUACUGAGAUGAUUCAUGAUAACUCUUCGAAUGCCGGCUCAUACCGGCAUAUGUCAUUCAUGUUUCUGCUUCCCAUCAGCUUGAUUGUAGUGUAUUGGACAACAAUGGCAUUCACGGGCAACCGGGGGAUUAGGGUUCGAUUCCGGAGAGGGAGCCUGGUAAACGGCUACCACUUCUACGGAAGGCAGCAGGCGCGAAAAUUAUCCAAUCCUGACUCAGGGAGGUAGUGAGACAAAUAACGAACUGGGAUUAUUUUAUCCUGGGAUCGCAAUGGGCUUGAUUUGCAAACUUGAUAUUAGCGAGGAACAAUUGGAGGGCAAGUCUGGUGCCAGCAGCCGCGGUAAUUCCAGCUCCAAUAGUGUAUAUUAACGUUCCUGCAGUUAUUCGAUGCUCGUAGUUGGAUUUCUGGGGGUGGAGACAGGGAGGGCGGCUAUGGCCGCCGCCAGUCUUUUCCCUCGUCCGCCUGUUAACGGUGAUCGAGAUUGAGUUCUCGACGCCGGGCUCAGGCACUUGAUUAAAUUUCUCUUGAGCAAAUUAUAGUGUUUCAGGCAGGCGUGCGCCGGAAUACAUUAGCAUGGAAUAAUCUUACGGACCGUGUGUGGGCUCGCCCACAUCUCCUUAUUUGUUGGUUUCUUUUUUUUAAGGACACGGAAUGAUUAAUAGGGAUAGUUGAGAGUUUAUAUCUCACCAGGGGAGGCAUUAGUAUCUAAUUUCCAGAGGUGAAAUUCUUUGAAAUUUCUAAAGACUAACUUAUGCGAAAGCAUUUUUCUGCCAAGAAUGUUUUUAUCUUAUCGCAUUGAACGAAAGUUAGGGGAUCAAAGACGAUCAGAUACCGUCCUAGUCUUAACCAUAAACUAUGCCGACUAGGGAUCGGAGGGGUUCAUUAUGUCUCCGUCAGCACCUUAAGACAAAUCAUAAGUCUUUGGGUUCCUGGGUGAGUAUGGUCGCAAGGCUGAAACUUAAAGAAAUUGACGGAAGGGCACCACCAGGAGUGGAGCCUGCGGCUUAAUUUGACCCAACACGGGAAAACUUACCAGGUCCAGACAUAGUGAGGAUUGACAGAUUGAGAGCUCUUUCUUGAUUCUAUGGGUGGUGGUGCAUGGCCGUUCUUAGUUGGUGGAGUGAUUUGUCUGGUUAAUUCCGUUAACGAACGAGACCCCUGCCUGCUAAAUAGGUAGAUCAAAUGGCUUGUCAUUGAUUGUAUCUUCUUAGAGGGACGUGCAUUGUAUUAGAUGCAGGAAGAUAGGGGCAAUAACAGGUCUGUGAUGCCCUUAGAUGUCCUGGGCCGCACGCGCGCUACACUGAUGCAUUCAACGAGUGUACCUUGGCCGAGAGGCCUGGGCAAUCUUGUGAACGUGCAUCGUGAUAGGGAUAGAUUAUUGCAAUUAUUAAUCUUAACGAGGAAUUCCUAGUAAACGCAGAUCAUCAAUCUGCAUUGAUUACGUCCCUGCCCUUUGUACACACCGCCCGUCGCACCUACCGAUUGAAUGGUCCGGUGAAGCCUCGGGAUUGUGGUCAGUUUGCUUCAUUGUAGAUUGACUGUGAGAACCUGUCUAAACCUUAUCAUUUAGAGGAAGGUGAA
rnacentral:rRNA from 1 species